rnacentral:rRNA from 1 species
AUGCCUCCUUCCCGAUGGAGCUACGCCGCCGCCGCGUGCAGGAAGUCCAUCGCCUCCACCCCAGGCCGUUCAAUGCCAUCGUCGUGGACGUGCCCCGCUCUAACACCAUGGAUUGCGAUUGAGCGGCAAACAAUGGAGCCUGCAGAAGGAGCCGCGGGGUCGAGGACCUCCAGUUCGUCAGUCCAACAAAAGGGUCAACGACGGUCGCCGCUCCUCGACCCUAUUCUCGUUCGUCACCCAGCUCAACAGUCCACCUCGGUGCUCCACCACCGGUCCCUCGAAGAGCUGGCUGCAGGCCAUCCAUUGCUCCGCCCUGGAUGCUGCCAUGUGGUGGCUGGCCGUCUCACUCCAAUGCACCUCCCUCUCUUUGUGUACUGGUCUCUCUCAAGACUGGAAGUUAUCCCUGAUGUACUCAACACAAGUUCAACAUCAUCAUCUAAAAAGGAAGCAAAAAAGAAAAUCUAUUUACUCACGGAUGCAGACAAAUUUCCGGAGCACAAUAGACUCAUCGGCGCAUGA